CACACAACACACACACACUCUCUUCCAUUCCUCCUUCUUCCCUAGCAAAACGUUAAUUACUCUUUACCCUCUCUCUCUCUCUCUCUCCUCUCUCAUCUAAUCAUAAUAAUCCAUGUUCUUCAUCGCUUCUCUCUCUUCUUCUUGUUCUUCAUAGAGGAACUCUCUCUGGUCACUGAUCAUGGCGGCUACGUUUGAUAGAUUUUCCAUAAGGGACUACACAACUAAGAUGAGGUCCGUAGACGUUUACAAGUGCUGGCCGUUCGCAUCCACAGUCUCACGUGACGCAUCGCGUGAGGAGCUUCAGUCCUGGCUUCCUCCGAUGACGCUGUGCCCUAGAUCCGACGGUUUAAACGACCACGCGCAAAAUCCGGACAAUCCGCCUUCGCCUGAGGAAGUUUCUGGUACGGAUGACGAGGGCGACGCGGAUUGCAGCGAAGAGGAGUCCGAAGAAUCCGCGCCUCCUUCUCACGCUGCCGUUAACAACAACGACGACGAGAAAUUGGAGAUGGUUUGUCCAGUUUGCCGCGAAUUUAACGCUGCGACGCUCACGGCGGUGAAUGCGCACAUCGACGGAUGCCUCGCGCAGACGAUGAGAGAGGAGCGUCGCCACAUGAGGAUAAUGAAUUUGAAGUCGUCGUCGUCCACCUCUAUAUCGAAGUCGAAGGCGCCGAAGAAGCGGUCUAUAGCGGAGAUUUUCAAGGUGGAAGAGCAGCAGCAGCAACAGCCACCACAGCUGCAGCAGCCGCCACCGCAAAUCGAGAGCGUGUUGAAGUUCUGGCCGUUCCACGAGGAUGUGGCGGACGAGGUUUCGAAUACCGUUUCGAAGUUCGAGUGGCUCUCUCGGCGCCUCGAGGCGCUGAGAUCUACGCGCGGAGGUGGCGAGUCGUCGAAAUCGGACCGAAGAGAUUCCGCUGAAGAGGAUGAGAAGUUGGAGAUGGUGUGUCCUGUUUGCCGCGAUUUUAACGCCGCCACCGUAACGGCAGUGAACGCGCACAUCGACGGUUGUUUAGCGCAGGCCGUUAGGGAGGAACGACGGCAGAUGAGAAGGACCGUUAAUUGCAAGUCUAAACCUAAGGCUCCAAAGAAGCGUUCGAUCGCGGAGAUUCUCACGGUGGCACUGCCGAUCGAAGCAGGCAAAAGCAAAGGGAUUCAGAUUAAGGAAAACGAAGAGAAAUCCGAUUAUCGCUGUGAGGAUUCAGCUUGUGCUCCUGCUCCUUCCACUUCUACGGCUGCUCCAGUUGUUUCGGUAAUUAAGAAUAGGAAGAGUACGAACAAGAGUAGGAAAAAGAAAAAGAUGAAGAAGGCGAAGAAGAAGAAAAGCAAGGUGGAGAAGUACGGUGAGAGUGGCGUGUUAUUCGUGAACAAUGAGAAGAAGACGGUUGUGAACAAGAAGAAGAAGAAAAAGAGUAAUGUCUUCAACAAUGGACCAACUGGGAAGAAGGGUGAUGCUUACGAGCGCAUGGUGCAAAAUGUAGCAAAUAGUUCCAGAAAACUACAAGGUACAGUUGGUAGUAAAAUGGUUCCACUUCAUGGGGUUGAUCCUUCCAUCGAUAGAAAGAAAUUGGGCUUAAAUUGUAUAUCGGUAGAAAAGAAGCAACACGUUAAAAAUUUCGACUCAGUUGGAAAGCAACAAAAGGCCGUAUCUCCUGUUCAUGGCAGUAUUCUUAAGAACCACUUUAAACAUGUUUCUGGAAAGACAUCAAGUGUCAGUAACAUUCGAAAUGGUACUGAAAAAAGCCAUUAUAAUGAUGAAGAGCCAACCUCUGACAGACAUGUUAAAUUCUCUGGCAAAGAUGAUAUACUUGGUCCAAAAAGGACAACUUCAUUUGAUGAAGCCAUGUUCAACAUAUCUUCAGAUGCGCUGGCUUCUUCAGUAGUAAAGGAGAAAUCCUCUAGAAGUGAUGAAGAAACUGCAAGUUUGGAGCCAAAUAGAAAUUAUGGCCAUAUUCAUGUUAAUAUAGACAGAGACAAGAGAGAGGAGGAGAUUUGCCCUAUAGUUGAAAGUAAACAGUUUUCUAACACUCUGGAACAAGAUACCGUACAAAGCUGCUUGAAGCCAUGUACUGAUCAAGAUAAGUCAAAGCACUUAGAAGAGGAGUCAGAGUUGUUGACCAAGGUGGCAGUCUGUGACAAUAAUAGUUCACACUUUUUUUAUGGAAGCAACAGAACUACCCUGCAUUGUUCUCCGUAUGCAGAAAUUUCUGGUCCUCUUUCGGCAGUUCAUGAAGAGCAGAUGUCUGGUAUAAAUAGACAAGCAUGUGAUUUUGGAUCUUUUGGCUACAGUGGAAAGUUGGACCAUUUCGAUGAUCCCCAGGUUGAUUUUGUUGAUUCAAAUGACAAUACAAAGACAUUUCUGGAGCCUUCGUCAUCUUAUUCUGCUUCAUAUAAUGCAAAUGAAAAACCAGAAUCUCCAUUGCAAGCUUGUGGAGAUAAAGAUAAUAGUGAUGAGGCCUCCGGUGACAGACAGUUGUCUCGCAUGUUUUCUGCAGAUAUGAUUGAUCACUCGUUCCCCUUUACAGGCUGGGAUAAAGGAGGUGUGAAAAAUUGCUCAUUGGAUCCCAGUUUUUUCGGUUUGCCCCUCAAUUCUCAUGGUGAGCUUAUCAAUUUCAGUUCAAGUGGAAACUUAGGGGUGAACCAGCCAGAGACAUCAACUACAGUACGUGGUUCUUUAAGUGGUUUACCCAUUAGCAAUAUUCUUCAUCAAAGUAACCUGGAAAAUUUAAGCGCUAAUGAGAAUCAUGUUCAGAAGACAUUUACAAGAGAUGGUCUUAAUCCAUUUCCACACCAUUCAACCAGAUUAUCCGUCACCGAGUUACAAAGUAGAGAGAGAGAAGAUAUCCACCAACCUAAUUCAGAUACGUGUUAUCUCCCGCCUCUUAAUUCAAAGCCGAACCUUGAGAAGAACGUGUUCAUUGAAAAGAAUCAAUCCGACCAGGUUGGGAAUCACAGUGGAAAUGGAGUGGUUUCUCUGAAAGAAGGUUCAGAUCAUAUCUCACUAAGUUCCAGCCAACCAACAAUGAGGUUGAUGGGUAAGGAUGUUCCAAUUGGUAGAAGCAGCCAAGAGAUGCAACAAUUUGCCGGAGAUGUUUGGACAGAUGAGCAGUCCAGAAGAAGGAAUUAUUCUGAAUAUGCAGCUUUGGAACACUCUUUGUUACGAAGAAGUUCUAAGCAGGAUUGGGUAUCUGGUUCACCUUUACAAAUAUCUGCUGACGGUGUAUUGCAGUCAGCCAAAAUUCAAAGCAAUCAAGCACUACAAAGUACCAUGUUGAUGCCCAGUACAGACUCUGGAUUUUCUCGACAGUUUAUUGAUCUGCAAAGGAAUCCUGUAUCUCAAAAUGGAAGCGUUGAAGUCAACAGAAAUGCAAGUUCUUUUUUCAAUCCCAUCACUCCAAAGUCUACAUCGUAUGCAGUAUUUAAUGGGGCAUCAGAUGAUUUUCCUGAGCAAUUUAUACAUGGAGCCAAACCUCUAGGAUUGAGCUCUCAAUCGGUGGUACUACCUACUCCUGGCAAUUUUAGACACUCCCCCAGUUUAAGCAAUGGUGAGCUGAACGACGGGAAUAAAAAUCCCCUUUUUACCAAAUCAGCCUUCGGAUUUCCUUUUUUGCAGCCAACUGUGAAUGAACAGACCAAAACAUCUUGGUUUGAAAGGCCUUACAGAAGUUCACCAUCGUGGUUGUCAAGCUCAGCAGAUGAAAUGCUUCCAGGGUCCUUCUCUCAGCAAUUUUCAGGCACAAGUAGUCAAAGUUUUUCUCAAAAUCUGUGGGGAAAUAAUCUCACUACACCAGAACUUCGCUUUCCUUCUAAUCAUCUGACUUCUAUGCGUCCCAUGCAGACUACUCCUCUUUCUCCAGCAUCAAUUGUUCGACCUUUACAUGUUCCAGUUACACCCUCUACCAUAAAUAGUGGCAACAGAAACAUAAAUAAUGUCUCUGACAGAUUGAAGUUGGAUGAACACCAUCCGUGCACGAAUAACAGGAAGAGACCCACAGCCGUGGCUAAUCUUGAUGAUUCCAGAAAACCUACCAAGUUACCGAAUAUACAGGUGCAAGAAAACUUCUGUCGUGUGACUAGGUUGACUGGUGAAAAGUCAAGCGUGGAAUUGCAACGAAACACAAGAGCACCCGAACUGGAUCCACAAAUGGGUAGUGGUGGGAGUAGGUGUUGUCAGCGUGAGGCACAAAAUCUAAAUCCUUCAAGGUAUCCUGCUGUGAAUUCUUUUAAACUGGACGGCAUGGUAACAUCAGGUCCUGUCCGACUUGGUCCUAAAAGAGCUAAGCACAUCCUAAAAUCCUCUUGAAAUAUGGAUCAUGAUGACAAUCUAUUCUGCCAUAUCCUCACUUGCAACUACUGACAGUGAUAGUGAUGUAGAAAUUCAGAGAAAAAUUGACAAAAGUAUACUGAUUUUAGGUGUUGCUGAAACCAGUGGAAAAUUGAUAUAUAAUUCCAUCCAGCUCUCAAUUUUGAAGUUUUAUGCCCUUUACAGAAUUUUGUCACCAAAGCUGACGCCUUCCAUAUCUAUUUUCAGUCAGGUAUUCCACAUGGUAUCUGUUCAAUGACUAUGGCAAAGAUGUGCUUAAUUUUUAUACAGAAGAAAGGAAAGAAAGAUGGGUCUAGAAUAAAGACAACAUAUACUUCAUCUCUCUUAACCUAUUCAAUAAAACUUCAAUUUCUUCCCUAA